AACGAACGCUGGCGGCGUGCCUAACACAUGCAAGUCGAGCGCGAAAAGGGCAACCUGAGUAGAGCGGCGCACGGGUGCGUAACACGUGGGUAAUCUGCCUUAGAGUCGAGGAUAACCUUCCGAAAGGUUGGCUAAUACUCGGUAAGCUUACGGUGUCUUCGGACGCUGUGGGAAAAGUAGGCCUCUGUUUACAAGCUUACGCUCUGAGAUGAGCCCGCGGCCCAUCAGCUAGUUGGCGGUGUAACGGACCACCAAGGCAACGACGGGUGGCUGGUCUGAGAGGACGUUCAGCCACACUGGAACUGGGACACGGUCCAGACUCCGACGGGAAGCAGCAGUGGGGAAGUUUCCACGAUGGGCGAAAGCAUGAUGGAGCAACGCCGCGUGUGUGAUGAAGGUUUUCGGAUCGUAAAGCACUUUCGACUGGGACGAAAAACCUUUGGCUAACAUCCAGGGGCCUGACGGUACCAGGAGAAGAAGCACCGGCUAACUCUGUGCCAGCCGCCGCCGUAAAAC
rnacentral:rRNA from 1 species